rnacentral:lncRNA from 1 species
UAGAGUUUUCUCCUCUGAAUACAUAUGUAGCGACAAGAUCAACAUUUGACAGUUGUAACGUUGACUCUACAAGCCGGACAACACGUGCUUGAGCAGAGUUUAUCUGCAUGUUAGUGCACAAAGUCUAUAAGGACACAUGCCAUAGGUUAGUGAAAAACAUGAGGAUUGAUAUUAGUCACAACGAUAUCAACCCCAUACCAGAGAUAGAACCUGCCUCUUCCACAAAAUGCUAUCAACUUCCAGCUUCUUUGUGCACUCUUCUACGCUGUUGACAAGAUCCUCAACAAACAGCAAGUCUUGUUUGGCUUGCUGACAUUCUUGUCUCACAAGUCCUUGACAAGCUAAAAGUAGUUGUUCUGCAAUGGCAAUUGGAGUUUCAAGCUUCAGCUUCAUUCUCUCAAUUCCAGUACUUGUG